AGCCGCCCGUUGUGCUGUCGCUCGAGGCCUGGAGGAGCUACCCGGCAGAUUUCUGAGGUGUGGAGGGGACAGCAACUCCUAAGAGCCUGAUGGGUUUCAGCAUGCUAACCCACGCUGAAAUAACUGAGACAAACAAGACAAGAGAUUGAGUGUGACGUCAGUGGAAGAAAAGCCCUCACAUCUGAGGGAAAGCUAGCUCUAAAAGGCUGAACACUUCCUUCUGCAUCAGAGAGCUGAGAGGCAGGACUAACGCACCCAGCAUGCUGCAGAACCUCAUCUCUUGUGCCUUUGGGAAGCUACUGCUUGUAGAGAACUCAUAAGAACGGAAGGUUACCUGGGGCAUCUGCCCAUUUCUGCUAAUCUCCUUUGAGGUACACUCUGGUGUGUUUCCAGGCACUGUAUGACUGUUCAGAGUGCUUCCACAGUAAGUUCAGAUGUGAACAAGACAGUGUCAUUUAAUAAUAGGUAUCGUAUUAUUUUUAGUAUCUUUCCUGGACUUCACAAGGUCUUUUUGUUAAAACCACCAGACGUGAUUUUCUGCCUCAUUUACCCCGUCUGCAGGUCCAAAGUGACUUCGCUGUACAGAGGAAGUCAUUCAGUGUAAUCACCUACUUCUUUCACAGCUUAGGAAAGACUGCCUCAGAAAUACUAUUCAAGGUGGCAACACACAGCUGGAUCCAAGGGACAGUGUUUCAUCUCUGAAGUUCAGUAGAACAGCAUACACGUGUAUGUUGUUCCUGCCCAUGGACUGUGCUGAGGGAGAAGUUCGCUGUCAGUCAUGUUUGACUACUACAGGUUGAUUUACACCUGAGGAAUCACACAGCUCUACUUCUGUCUGUCUGCUACCUUCUCACAAUGUGAAAAAGCUGCCAGCAAUUACACGUGUCUCGGCCUUCUCCAGGCACACUUUUAGUGUUUCUGAGCCACAUCCUGUACAUUACUAUUCUGAUUUAGUACACCCUAACAGCAGGAUAUUGAUAUAUCUCCAGAAAGCACAAGGAAAACCAAAAACCAAACAACAUGAAAUAAUAUUAGCCUCGCUGCUCUCUCCAGCCUUAUGAGACUACUAUGAAAUAAAGUAACUCCUUUCAC
rnacentral:lncRNA from 7 species